GUGUGCUGCUAGAGCGCUCACCUACACCGCCCACCCCUGGGUCCCUGAUCUGAAUUAGGACUCAUACAGUGUGGAGGAGGACUUUGGCCGACAUCCAGACUUUUAAGAGUGUGAUAGUAGCCUGAUUAUUAAAUUCAGAGAUUCAUACCAUGUUCUUAACAAGAACUGUUAAUAAGCAUCAAAAUCCACGGGCCAUAAAUAUAGAAACUAAGAAGAUUGAGAAAUAGUGCAUUCGUGUUCCAAAUACAUACCUCCAAUAUUAAUAAUUGCCCAAGCAACUUUUGAAAUGCUCACUGACAUAUGUGUUUCCGUUUGUAAAGGACAAUAACUGAGCAAGUCUGAGGAAGAGACCAUUUAAAAGAGCAUCUCGAAUGAGUUUUCAGUAAUAAAAUUUAUUAGCCAACUCCCUGCUCCCGCAGUAUUUGGAAAAUUUUUUUGUCUAGGUCACAAUGCAAUGUUUGAAACCAGGAGACUACUUUAAAUACACAUUCUUGCUAAUAUAAAAAUCAGCUUGUGUGACUUACUUUGUGAAUCUAUAAGCAUUGUGUUGUAAGGAAGCUUCAAAGUUUUCAAGUAGCCUAUUUAUUCAAAGAAUGGAAAAGAGUUAAAACGAGAGAGAAUUUAGAGAAGGUGUCAUUUGAUAACCAUGACAACUCAGAAGGCAAUAAGAAGAAAUUUGGAAUCUAAUAUUUUUAAGAGCAGCAGAAAGCCUGGCAAUGGAAGCAACAGCCCUCUGUUACCUGGCAGAUUCAGAGCAUGGUUGAAAUAGAAUAAAUCUGAAGAAAACGGGGGAAAUGUUAAUGCGAUAACUUGAAAAAGUACAUAAUAAGGAAACCACUAAUGUCACUUUUUAUCAUCUUAAAACAUCUUACAGUCUGUUUGAAACACUCUUUGCCCACUGAAACCUCUGUGUCCACCUCUUCCACACGGGUACCCCUCUUCACCCCCAAUGUGGCUUUAAUUGGAAAGGGUAUGUGUGUUGUCUUAACUUUAUGACCGAAGGGGAAAUACAAUGCUAGUGAGAUAAAUUCAU